rnacentral:rRNA from 1 species
UACGGAGGGGACUAGCGUUGUUCGGAAUUACUGGGCGUAAAGCGCACGUAGGCGGAUUUGUAAGUCAGGGGUGAAAUCCCGGGGCUCAACCUCGGAACUGCCUUUGAUACUGCAAAUCUCGAGUCCGGAAGAGGUGAGUGGAAUUCUUAGUGUAGAGGUGAAAUUCGUAGAUAUUAGGAAGAACACCAGUGGCGAAGGCGGCUCACUGGUCCGGUACUGACGCUGAGGUGCGAAAGCGUGGGGAGCAAACAGG